GAAUGUGAGGGCAAUUUGGCUGCAACAGCAUCUGUCACCACACUGAUCACCAGGGUUGAUCUGCCUGACCAGGUGAGAGUCCCCUUCCUCCCUCAUUCCUCCAUGUGUGGCCCAUGGGAGGUUGCAAACCUAUCUGCGUGCUCAGUUGAAGAGGACAGCUGCCUCCAACAGAAGAGGAUGGUUCCUAGGUCAAGGGUGUAGGUGCAACUGCCGCCCCUGCUAGAAUCUCCAGACACGAUCUUAAGAAAGAUCCUGACAGGUCCUAAGCAAACAUAGUUAUGAUUGUGUGCUUGAAAGUCCUCAAGAUUCUGCUCACAUUUUUCAGAUGACUGCACUUUGUU
rnacentral:snRNA from 1 species